CUAUGGAAAGUGAAAAUCCCUGUGAAAAUCAAAGUGUUCCUUUGGUUGGUGAGCAAGAAAAGAAUUUUGACUAAAGAUUCUUUGAUUAGAAGAGGGUGGAAAGGAUCUAAGGGAUGUGUGCUUUGUGGUAGAGAGGAGCAGAUAGAUCAUUUGUGCUUUACUUGUUCAGAUGUGUCGAUGUUAUGGAGUUUGUUAAAAUGUGAUUUUGGUCUAAAACCCACUCCCACCUCAGUUGAGGAAUGCUUUGGGAAUUGGAUCAAAUCUUUUAGAAAAAACAGAACAUAA
rnacentral:rRNA from 1 species